rnacentral:rRNA from 1 species
UACAGAGGGUGCGAGCGUUGUCCGGAAUCACUGGGCGUAAAGGGCGUGUAGGCGGCUUGAUAAGCCGCGUGUGAAAGCCCGGGGCUCAACCCCGGAACGGCACGCGGGACUGUCAGGCUUGAGAAUGGUAGAGGCGAGUGGAAUUCCUGGUGUAGCGGUGGAAUGCGCAGAUAUCAGGAAGAACACCCGUGGCGAAGGCGGCUCUCUGGUACGUGACUGACGCUGAGACGCGAAAGCGUGGGGAGCGAACAGG